rnacentral:rRNA from 1 species
GUGCCAGCAGCCGCGGUAAUACGGAGGGUGCAAGCGUUGUUCGGAAUUACUGGGCGUAAAGGGCGUGUAGGCGGUGUGGUAUGUCAGAUGUGAAAGCCCUGGGCUUAACCCAGGAAGUGCAUUUGAAACUGCCAUGCUUGAGUAUGGGAGAGGAGAGUGGAAUUCCCAGUGUAGAGGUGAAAUUCGUAGAUAUUGGGAGGAACACCCGUGGCGAAGGCGACUCUCUGGACCAAUACUGACGCUGAGGCGCGAAAGCGUGGGGAGCAAACAGGAUUAGAAACCCUAGUAGUCC